UCCCUCUCAGAGUCACACCUGGAGAGUUUUCAAUCCUCUACCAGUCUUGACUGAGGGAGGGAGAGUCAAGCAGAGACCUACCCAUUCCAUUCCCAGCUUGGCCAGUGGCUAGCGAGGGGAAGACAAUCUGCUUCAAGU